UCCUCGUUUCUCACGGUAUUGUGUCGGCAUCAGUGGUACGUUUACCGUUGUAUGUACCGGAGAGCAGCGAUUCGAGUCGAGCAAGGCAUUUCUACGCUUGAAAAUCUCACUUUCUUCACUGGUAAUUCAAGACAACUAUAACGACUGGCAAAUACAUUCUACGGUGUCAUCUCUCAUACGUUUCAAUUAGAUAUUCGCUUUCGACUACCUUAGUUUCGUCAUCUCGCACGUAGAUUAUGUUACACGUGCACAGGAGGUGACCGUUGUAUGUACCGGAGAGCAGCGAUUCGAGUCGAGCAAGGCAUUUCUACGCUUGAAAAUCUCACUUUCUUCACUGGAAAUAAUGGAUGAGAAAGCGCAAGAUAAAGCAGAGUAGUGAGGAUUACGACUGUGAGAUGAGCAUGCUUACUGAUAAGAGUGAAGAAAACAAGGAGAAAGAGGAUAAUGAAAAACAAACAAAGGAUAUUAAAGAUCAAGUAGAUACUUCUUCGGGAAUGGUAACUGAUGAAGACCACGAUGAUGAUAAAGAUUUUAACGAAAAGGAUGAGGAUGAUGACGCAGAUAAUUAUAAUGUGGUAACACAAGCAAAAGAAAUUACAAAAGAAAAAGCAGAUAAGGAUACCGAUAAGAAUUUUCGUCGUGUACGGUUUCACAUGUCCUCUGAAGAGGAAAAACGAUGUAUGGAAAGAUGGAUUGUAGUUGAAAAUAUUUCACCAAGGCUAGAUAUGGUAGCUUCAAUAAAACUGUUUUCUCAGUAUGGCAACGUUGAAGCAUUUGGUCGCCCAUCGGGCACCACUAAAAUAGAGGAUGCAGUAAGAGCUCUGCAUGGAAUGAAAUACCAUGGAAACUUCUUGAGUAUACAGAUGUCUACUAGAUAUGAAGGACCGUAUAACCCCAAAAAAAAACUAUACUCUUAGGAAAUCUGAUAGAGGAUGUAUAAAACGAAACUACAUAUGAAAUGUAUGUUCAUUUUUUUUAAAAAAUGAACAUUACAUUUAUGUAAUGUUCAUUUUUAAAAAAAAUGAAUAUUACAUUUCAUAUGUAGUUCCGUUUUCUUAUCGCGACAAAAUCUUAAACAUUCAAUUUUUCCAAAGCUGGAGAAGGCCUCCCAAACUUCAUCAAAUUGUACAUCUGAAAGUUUUAAAGCAUCAACCGAUUAUUAAUUUUUAUACUAGACUAUUGCGAUAGUCGAUUAACAACGGUUUAGUAUACAUACCCUCUAUCAGAUUUUCUACGAGUACAGUUUUUAUCAGACAAGUUGGGGAGAAUCUUCUAAAUGUGAAGAAAAUGUUAAGAAACAAAAAAGCUGCAGAGAGAUAACCAAGGAAAGAAGUCUACUGCGUUUCAGGGCCAAAAAGCCACUUUGAAAAACGGAAAGAAGAAAGAACUUGACAAGAAGAAGAAGGUAAUGACUGAAAAGCUUAUGGGUAAACGUUUAGGCUAACAUUGUCACAUAAUAUAGAUUCUCAAACUGCAAGAUUUUUUUUAAUUUUCUAAGACAUUUGCAUGUUCAUUUAAAAACCGAUAUAACGAACGUCGUAGUUAUCACGACAUGAAUGUAAACGAAAUACCUCCUAUAUUUAUGUAUAAGUAUAUUUUGCUUUAUGUAAUUGUCAUUGCUCUUUAAUAAAUAAUGCCUGCAAAUUUCUUUUUACGAA